rnacentral:rRNA from 1 species
UACGUAGGGUGCGAGCGUUAAUCGGAAUUACUGGGCGUAAAGCGUGCGCAGGCGGUUGUGCAAGACCGAUGUGAAAUCCCCGGGCUUAACCUGGGAAUGGCAUUGGUGACUGCACGGCUAGAGUGUGUCAGAGGGGGGUAGAAUUCCACGUGUAGCAGUGAAAUGCGUAGAGAUGUGGAGGAAUACCGAUGGCGAAGGCAGCCCCCUGGGAUAACGACUGACGCUCAUGCACGAAAGCGUGGGGAGCAAACAGG